rnacentral:rRNA from 1 species
UUCUUGAAAUAAAUGAGAAGUAAUUCCUGCCCAGUGACAAAGUUCAACGGCCGCGGUAUCCUAACCGUGCAAAGGUAGCAUAAUCACUUGCCCAUUAAUUGUGGGCUAGAAUGAAAGGACCAACGAAAUAAAGACUGUCUCUAUAAGCAAAAUAAAAAUUAAUCUCUAACUGAAGAGUGUUAGAUUCUGUCGAAGGACAAGAAGACCCUAUAGAGCUUAAUUCUAAUAAAAACAUGUAUUUUAAUAAAAUUCGGUUGGGGCGACCAGGGAAUACAAAUCAUCCCCAUUCAAAAGAUAUAUAAAUCCUUAAAAUGACCCUUAAACAAGAUCAAAAAAUAAAGCUACCUUAGGGAUAACAGGCUAAUCCCACUAAAGAGUUCUUAUCAAUAGUGGGGGUUGGCACCUCGAUGUUGGCUUAGGGAAUCUAUACGGCGCAAAAGUCGUAUAAAGAUGGUUUGUUCAACCAAUAACCCCUACAUGAGCUGAGUUCAGACCGGCGUAAGCCAGGUUAGUUUCUAUCCUCGAUAAAUUUACCUAUUUAUAGUACGAAAGGACCUAAAUAAGGGCAAUAAUUACAAUAAAAGAAUAAAUAUAAAAAAUUUACAAAGUUAAAAUUCAUAUACUAUG